AGCGAACGCUGGCGGCAUGCCUAACACAUGCAAGUCGAACGAACCUUUCGGGGUUAGUGGCGGACGGGUGAGUAACACGUGGGAACGUUCCUUUAGGUUCGGAAUAACUCAGGGAAACUUGUGCUAAUACCGAAUGUGCCCUUCGGGGGAAAGAUUUAUCGCCUUUAGAGCGGCCCGCGUCUGAUUAGCUAGUUGGUUGAGGUAAUGGCUCACCAAGGCGACGAUCAGUAGCUGGUCUGAGAGGAUGAUCAGCCACAUUGGGACUGAGACACGGCCCAAAAUCCUACGGGAGGCAGCAGUGGGGAAUCUUGCGCAAUGGGCGAAAGCAUGACGCAGCCAUGCCGCGUGAAUGAUGAAGGUAUUAGGAUUGUAAAAUUCUUUCACCGGGGACGAUAAUGACGGUACCCGGAGAAGAAGCCCCGGCUAACUUCGUG
rnacentral:rRNA from 1 species